rnacentral:rRNA from 1 species
AGGAAAAGAAACUAACAAGGAUUCCCCUAGUAACUGCGAGUGAAGCGGGAAAAGCUCAAAUUUAAAAUCUGGCAGUCUUUGGCUGUCCGAGUUGUAAACUAGAGAAGUGUUAUCCGCGCUGGACCGUGUACAAGUCUCCUGGAACGGAGCGUCAUAGAGGGUGAGAAUCCCGUCUUUGACACGGACUACCAGGGCUUUGUGAUGCGCUCUCAAAGAGUCGAGUUGUUUGGGAAUGCAGCUCAAAAUGGGUGGUAAAUUCCAUCUAAAGCUAAAUAUUGGCGAGAGACCGAUAGCGAACAAGUACCGUGAGGGAAAGAUGAAAAGAACUUUGGAAAGAGAGUUAAACAGUACGUGAAAUUGCUGAAAGGGAAACGCUUGAAGUCAGUCGCGUUGUCCAGGGAUCAACCUUGCUUUUGCUUGGUGUACUUUCUGGUUGACGGGUCAGCAUCAAUUUUGACUAUUGGAAAAAGAUUAGGGGAAUGUGACAUCUUCGGAUGUGUUAUAGCCCUUGGUUGCAUACAAUGGUUGGGAUUGAGGAACUCAGCACGCCGCAAGGCCGGGUUUUUACCACGUACGUGCUUAGGAUGCUGGCAUAAUGGCUUUAAUCGACCCGUCUUGAAACACGGACCAAGGAGUCUAACAUGCCUGCGAGUGUUUGGGUGGAAAACCCGAGCGCGUAAUGAAAGUGAAAGUUGAGAUCCCUGUCGUGGGGAGCAUCGACGCCCGGACCAGACCUUUUGUGACGGUUCCGCGGUAGAGCAUGUAUGUUGGGACCCGAAAGAUGGUGAACUAUGCCUGAAUAGGGUGAAGCCAGAGGAAACUCUGGUGGAGGCUCGUAGCGAUUCUGACGUGCAAAUCGAUCGUCAAAUUUGGGUAUAGGGGCGAAAGACUAAUCGAACAUCUAG